CAAAAUGGGAGGUGAAUUUCUCCUAAGGCUAAAUACAGGCGAGAGACCGAUAGCGAACAAGUACCGUGAGGGAAAGAUGAAAAGAACUUUGAAAAGAGAGUUAAACAGUACGUGAAAUUGUUGAAAGGGAAACGAUUAAAGUCAGUCGUACUGACGAGGAAUCAACCUUUUGAGCGUGGAUUCGUAGGAUUCAAAGAGCCUUUGUCCUUGCGAUAUUCGCGUUUUUUCGGAGUACUUUCUCGUGUUGUAGGUUAGCAUCGGUUUCGACCGUUAUAAAAUGAUCGGAGGAAUGUAGCUUCGAUUUCGAUUGAAGUGUUAUAACCUCUGUUAGAUGUAACUGUCGGGAUCGAGGAUUGCAACGAAUACCCUAAUGGGCUAUCCGUCUGGCCUCUGAUACGUCGCUUCGGCGUCGAAAGCUUGCUUAUGAUGUUGAAGCGUUCGGUCAAAAGGUUAGAACGGAUUAAAUUCGUUAAGGAUGCUGACGUAAUGACUUUAAACGACCCGUCUUGAAACACGGACCAAGGAG
rnacentral:rRNA from 1 species